rnacentral:rRNA from 1 species
AUUGAACGCUGGCGGCAGGCCUAACACAUGCAAGUCGAGCGGAGCGGCGGACUGGUAAGGAAUGCCUAGGAAUCUGCCUGGGAGUGGGGGAUAACGUCCGGAAACGGGCGCUAAUACCGCAUACAAUCAGAAGAGCAUAGUUCGGAUUAGCUAGUUGGGGGGGUAAAGGCCUACCAAGGCGACGAUCCGUAACUGGUACGAGAGGGUGAUCAGUCCCACGGCAACUGAGCCACGGUCCAGACUCCUACGGGAGUCAGCAGUGGGGAAUAUUGGACAAUGGGCGAAAGCCUGAUCCAGCCAUGCCGCGUGUGUGAAGAAGGUCUUCGGAUUGUAAAGCACUUUAAGUUGGGAGGCGUUACCAACAGAAUAAGCACCGGCUAACUUCGUGCCAGCAGCCGCGGUAAUUC